GUGACGAAGCGACGCCGCGUGUGGGAAGAAGGCCUUCGGGUUGUAAACCACUGUCGGGAGUUAGGAAAUGUAAGGGUGUUAAUAGUAUCCUUACUUGACUAAGGCUCCGGAGGAGGCCACGGCUAACUCUGUGCCAGCAGCCGCGGUAAUACAGAGGCGGCAAGCGUUGUUCGGAAUUAUUGGGCGUAAAGAGCACGUAGGCGGCCUUGUAAGUCAGUUGUGAAGGCCUUCUGCUUAACGGAAGAACAGCAGCUGAUACUGCAAGGCUAGAGUGCGGAAGGGGAGAGUGGAACUUCUGGUGGAGCGGUGAAAUGCGUAGAUAUCAGAAGGAACACCGGCGGCGAAGGCGACUCUCUGGUCCGUAACUGACGCUGAGUGUGCGAAAGCUAGGGGAGCAAACGGGAUUAGAUACCCCGGUAGUCCUAGCCGUAAACGAU
rnacentral:rRNA from 1 species